rnacentral:lncRNA from 1 species
UCCGAAUUGGCACCCGCUGCUGCAUUUACCUCUGCUGGUUUUGGCCAACGACAUUUCUUAUCUGCAUGUCCCAAUUACACAACAAAACGUGUUUACAUACCGAUGCGCCUCAUAUUCGAUAGCCUACACCCCCGCGCAAGCGCCCACCACUGUUCUUAUGUGCAGUCACUGGAUUCAGACUGCACGGGUGUGAAAGGAGAUGCAAUGAUGGCUACCGCUGCAGAAGAACUAUGCCAAUCCCCUUGUCCCAUUUCUGAGCGCAAUGUCACGACAGUUUCCAUCAAAAUUACGAGGAAAAACCAGGAUAAACCCUGGAAAUUGAGAUUAAUUUACCUGCAGUGUUACACUGGCCUACUGCAGAAGGACGCAGCCAGCUGCCAGACACCGGAGGAGAAGCUGCACCCUAAUCUCCAUGUGUUGGGAGUCCUCUUCCUCAGCAAGCCCAUGAGCCAUGCCUUCAACUUCAUCCUGCUCUUCCAGUUUGUGUCAAUUGGGAUCAGCUAUGUCCUGGCUGGCAGUGAGGCCUACGCUGUGAUUCUAGAUCUGAGCCAUAUCUACGUCAUUCCUGCCUUUACCUGGACACUCUCUCUUACAAUCCUGUUGGCUCAGAUUGUCAUUCAGCCAAUCACAUCGCUGCUGACCCUUCUGAAAGGCAUCAUGCUGAUCAUCACAGUAGCCGUGACAUUUGCUGUGGGGUCAGAGGUUCAACAGGCGACCACGAAUGACUUCAGCCAAAUUGGGAAGCCUUUCCUAAUGGGCACGGUUGCACUGGGGGGGAUUGUCAAUGUGAUGCCUCUCCUGUUUUCAGAAAUAUCCCAGAACAAGACACAGAUCAUGUGGUUCAGAAGAGUCAUAUUGGGAGGACUUGCCACAUGCGCAGUUCUGAAUAUAUUGUGGUUAGUGUUCUUUCCAUUCACUGUUAAAAGUUUGAUCAGCUUUCUUGGCGAUU